rnacentral:lncRNA from 1 species
GUGUUGGUGUUACACUUGUACUCUGCUAGUUUCUUCUCCACGGCACUCUUAUACUCCACCAGAAAUUUCUCCAAGGCUAGAAACGAAUAAAGCACAGCAAGAGGAUUCUACUACACACAGCACAGAAGUUCCAUUCUAAGUGACAAGUUGGGCAGUGUAAAAACGACUUUCUCAAAGGACAUCUAAAAAAACAAUGAUCUCAGGAAUCCUGAAGGGUUAUGAGACCCUGAGUGUGCCCUGAACCAGGGCAGGGCAGCAGCACCGCGCUCGCUCAGAAGUUGGCUGGGAGGGAGGUGGGCAGGGCCCUGGAGAGGAUCAGCUGGCGGGAACUGGACCUAAUGGGUUACAUUAGGGCGACAGUGAGCAAAGGGGAACGAGGGGGUGAAAGGCUCCGAGGCAGACCGCGCUCCACCAGACCAAACUGAGCGCCUUGCCUGAGCUCAAGGCCCGGGAGGCCCACGGGAGGCGCCGAGCGUCAGCACCGGGGGCGGUGGCGCCGAGCGCGGCCCACCGGGAGCCAGUCCCCGACCCUCAGUGCCUCGCGGAAGGGAGAGGCCUUCUGGAACCUCUGCUAGAGCCCGAAAGUUCCAGGCGGCCACUGUCACGGCCGCCUCAACGUUCUUCCCCAGAAGCACCCGCCUCCUCCCCUUGCUAAACUUUUCCCGGGAACUUACCCGCCAUUUCCGAGCUCCGAGCGCCCGCAGCUGAGGAAGGACAAAUCAACCCGCGCGCUCCCGGGCCGGAAGUGACCGCAAGGACUUACGCGUUUCCCCCGCCCAUCCUCGGCGAGCCACGAACCAAUGAGAGGGAGAAGGUCCAGGCGCGCGGCGGCGGAAGUGCCUCAGGAGGCGGGGCUAGCACCGUGAGAAGGCGCCCGCGGUUGCCUAGCCACCGCACGUGAGGAUGCCCUCACCCCAUGUCUUCGGCGUCCCAGCCUGUGCGGCUUGCUGGCCACUAGAGACUUGCUUAGAAAUUAAUGUGAAUUCUCAAACAGCUUAAGGCGAUUGUCCUUCCCAUCUUUUGGCCCGAACGCAAGUUUUUCUGUGGGGGUUUCAUUUCGAAGUUUUUAAACUUUUUGAUUCAACUUUGCCAUAACCCAUUUUAAAAGGUUCCUCUGAAUUUUAUUCGUAUUUUGGAGCUGGGUGACCAAUUCAGAGUCAUACUUAUGGUAGACAUAAGGCUCUGCCACUAACCCAUUAUAGACUUUCUUUGUGCUCCCAAAUUGAAAAAUAGUGCCAUAUUAAAGAACUCAGGGACCCAAAAUGGAAGACUCCCGAAAGCUGUGCUCUGAUUACAUGCUAGCGUGCACAACUAUUAAAAGUAAAAUUUAGAAAUAUACCUGCUUUUGCUCUUAAGUUUUCUGGACAACCAUUUAGCUCACUAAAAGUGGUUACUAACACUACCUCAAGUGGCUUGAUUUAGUUGGACUUGUAUGAGGUCCUAGUGGCUUGAACUAAUCAUAGGAUACUACCCAUUUUUAAUCAUGGGCCUUAUUAUUUAGUUGCUUUUGGAUUUUUUUUUUUCUCCCAGAGGAUAAUUUGCUAUUUACCUCUACGAUGGUAUUCAAAUACCAGACUCCCUGGUGUCAACACAUUUGCUGAUACGCUUUAAAAUGAUGCAUGCCGUAUGGAAAGUUGAUCUUUGGUAUAUCGGGUCUCUCUAGAAAAGAAGGAACCAAUGGAAUGAACAUAUAUUAAAAGAUGACUUACCACCUUGGCUUAUGUGGUACACUUGGAGAGGCCAGACAGUGGUUGUCUCACAGCAAAUGCUGAAAACCUGGUGGUCAGUCCUCAAAGCUAGGAGCCUCAGCCCAAUCUGCCUGUGAAGACCUGAGGGACUCCUGGAGAACUGUUGGGUCUCUGCCUAGCAAGGUUCUAAUACCAGCGCUUGAGAAGGCUAGGCUGACUCCAUGACAGGCUUCAAAUUGGCAGUUAAGGAGGUUAGGCCUAAAUCUCUUACCAAGACCUGGGCAAGUCCAGGCAAGUCCAGGCCUCCGAAGCCGGCCCGCCACCUGUCUGGCCACCUGUCUGGCCCGAGGCAAGGACAAUGGGUCAGCAGCAGUUUCCAGGCCUCCCCCAACAAGUUUACAGCCUCUCUACCCCGGCAAUGGAAUGUCAGUAGAGAUGGACCCAACAGAUUAUCAUAGAGGUCACCUACCCCAGAACUCCCUAAUGUGCUUUAAAUCAGGCCUCUGAGCUCACUUGGGUGUCUCUCUACCUGGGUCAUGGGAGACCCAGCUUGCUAGACUUCUGCAGAAUUCAACACUCUUUGUGGUUACAUACUAUUGGAGUCCAGGGUGACAUCCUUCAGCAAAUCAUGGACCCUUACACACCAAAAAGGUCAAUGAACUCUCCAGUGAGAAUGAAGGUUAAGGAGGCAAGUUAGCAAAGCUUUCUUUCUGCCUUUUACCUGGGCCAUUACCAGAAGGUGCUGCUCACACUUAAAGUGAGUCUUCUCCCAUCAAUUAAGAUGAUCAAGGCAAUCCCCAGCAAACAUGCUCACACUAAUAUAGGUUUGUGUGGGUCAUAUAUGUAUGUGUUAUAUAGUAUAUAUGUGUAUAUAUGUAUGUAGUAUGUAAUACAUAUAUGCAUGUAUGUGUGUAUAUAAACAUUUAUAUGUGUGUAUUUUGUUCUAUGCCAUGGUGACAGUUAAAACUAACCAUCACACGUGGUGAAAUAGUCUAGAAUUAAUAUGCUCUCUAGUAUUAGAGAUAAAAAAAAUAUAUAGCUAAAGUGAUAGAUUGUGCCUAAGCUCAUUGCACCCGGGAGUCUGAGGCAGGAACAUCAACUCAUCAGUUUGAGGUUAACCUGAACUGUGAUUGAGAAGAAUCUGCCAAAAGAAGAGGUGGAAGGCGAAAGGGAAGAAGAGGAUAAGGACCAACAGCACAUACCUAUAACACCCCCCCCCCGCACGGGGGGGGGGGGGGGGAAGGCAGGAAUUCAGGUUAUUCUUGGCCACUGAAGCUUGAGGUCAGCUGGGCUAUGUGAGAUCUGGAGAGAGACAGAGACAGAGAGGUGGUGGGGCUGGCAAGCGAGGGAGGAAAAGAGAAAGGAGUCAGCCCAAGGUAAGUUGCCAAGCUCAUCUUCAGUUUACUCCAGUGUCCUGAUGAGCCCAGUCCUCCAGAUACUCAGGCCUGGUAUUUAUGUGUUAGCUAUCUAGAAAUGCCCUUUAAGAUUAGAGUAGGCAGCAAGAACACUGAGGCCCUGCUCUUUAAACUCUUACAUACAAGAUUACAGUCAUAGUGUUCAGAUAGGAAUAUGAAGUCAAUGCUACUAAUGAUUGAUCAGAAAGGGAAACAGGACCAGUGAGGUGGGUCAGAAGGUGAAAGCACCUGCUGCCCAGCCUGACAACCUGAAUUUGAUGCCCAGGCCCCACAUAGUGGAAAGAGAGAACUCAUCCUCCUAUAGGUUGUCCUCUGACCUCUUUAUAAGUGCUGUAAAACACACACAUACACACACACACACACAUCUCUCUCUCUCUCUCUCACACACACACACACACAAAUAAAUACACAAUAAAUAAAACACAAAUAAAUAUAAUUUUAAAAAAUUGAAAGGAAAAAUAUUUGUUCAAAAUGGCAAGGUUUAUCAUUUUCUUUUUUUUUUAAGAUUUAUUUUUAUUUUAUGUAUGUUAGUACACUAUAGCUGUUGCUGUCUUCAGACAUACCAGAAGAGGGCAUCGGAUCCCUUUACAGAUGGUUGUGAGCCACCAUCUGGUUGCUGGGAAUUGAACUCAGGACCUCUGGAAGAGCAGCCAGUGCUCUUAACCACUGAGCCAUCUCUCCAACCCCGGCUUAUCAUUCUCCAGAUGUCUUUAUCUGUAGCUAAGCAAUUAUGACUCUUGUAAGAAGUACGAUGAGCUUGUUUGAUCUAGGGUGACGAGAAUUAGUAUGAAGUACUGAGGAGCCGAGACUACAGUUCUGAUCCUCAUUGUCGAACUGUUUACCCAUACUUUCUAAAUGUCUCAGAAUAUGUGCUUAGAUGCAGUUCAUC